rnacentral:tRNA from 1 species
GAGCGUAUAGCUCAGUGGUAGAGUGCAUGCCUAGCAUGCACCAGGUCCUGGGUUCAAUCCCCAGUACCUCCA